rnacentral:rRNA from 1 species
CAGGCCUAACACAUGCAAGUCGAGCGGCAGCGGAAAGUAGCUUGCUACUUUGCCGGCGAGCGGCGGACGGGUGAGUAAUGUCUGGGAAACUGCCUGAUGGAGGGGGAUAACUACUGGAAACGGUAGCUAAUACCGCAUAACGUCGCAAGACCAAAGAGGGGGACCUUCGGGCCUCACACUACCGGAUGAACCCAGAUGGGAUUAGCUAGUUGGCGGGGUAAGGGCCCACCAAGGCGACGAUCCCUAGCUGGUCUGAGAGGAUGACCAGCCACACUGGAACUGAGACACGGCCCAGACUCCUACGGGAGGCAGCAGUGGGGAAUAUUGGACAAUGGGCGCAAGCCUGAUCCAGCAAUGCCGCGUGAGUGAUGAAGGCCUUAGGGUUGUAAAGCUCUUUUACCCGGGAAGAUAAUGACUGUACCGGGAGAAUAAGCCCCGGCUAACUCCGUGCCAGCAGCCGCGGUAAU